GACGAACCGUGCGAACGUUGUUCGGAAUCACUGGGCUUAAAGGGCGCGUAGGCGGACUGCCAAGUCCGGGGUGAAAUCCUCCGGCUUAACCGGAGAAUUGCCUGGGAUACUGGCGGUCUUGAGGGAGGUAGGGCACGCGGAACUUCCGGUGGAGCGGUGAAAUGCGUUGAUAUCGGAAGGAACGCCGGUGGCGAAGGCGGGUCUCUGGGCAACAACUGACGCUGAGGAGCGAAAGCGUGGGGAGCGAACAGG
rnacentral:rRNA from 1 species